rnacentral:rRNA from 1 species
AGUGAACGCUGGCGGUAGGCCUAACACAUGCAAGUCGAACGGCAGCACAGUAAGAGCUUGCUCUUACGGGUGGCGAGUGGCGGACGGGUGAGGAAUACAUCGGAAUCUACUUUUUCGUGGGGGAUAACGUAGGGAAACUUACGCUAAUACCGCAUACGACCUACGGGUGAAAGCAGGGGAUCUUUGGACCUUGCGCGAUUGAAUGAGCCGAUGUCGGAUUAGCUAGUUGGCGGGGUAGAGGCCCACCAAGGCGACGAUCCGUAGCUGGUCUGGGAGGAUGAUAAGCCACACUGGAACUGAGCAACGGUCCAGACUCCUACGGGAGGCAGCAGUGGGGAAUAUUGGACAAUGGGCGCAAGCCUGAUCCAGCCAUACCGCGUGGGUGAAGAAGGCCUUCGGGUUGUAAAGCCCUUUUGUUGGGAAAGAAAAGCAGCAGGUUAAUACCCCGCUGUUCUGACGGUACCCAAAGAAUAAGCACCGGCUAACUUCGUG